rnacentral:rRNA from 1 species
GGAGCAACGCCGCGUGAACGAUGAAGGUCUUCGGAUCGUAAAGUUCUGUUGUCAGGGAAGAACAAGUACCGUGCGAAUAGAGCGGUACCUUGACGGUACCUGACGAGGAAGCCCCGGCUAACUACGUGCCAGCAGCCGCGGUAAUACGUAGGGGGCAAGCGUUGUCCGGAAUUAUUGGGCGUAAAGCGCGCGCAGGCGGUUCCUUAAGUCUGAUGUGAAAGCCCACGGCUCAACCGUGGAGGGUCAUUGGAAACUGGGGAACUUGAGGACAGAAGAGGAGAGUGGAAUUCCACGUGUAGCGGUGAAAUGCGUAGAUAUGUGGAGGAACACCAGUGGCGAAGGCGACUCUCUGGUCUGUUUCUGACGCUGAGGUGCGAAAGCGUGGGUAGCAAACAGGAUUAGAUACCCUGGUAGUCCACGCCGUAAACGAUGAGUGCUAGGUGUUAGGGGGCUUCCACCCCUUAGUGCUGAAGUUAACGCAUUAAGC